UCCUUUUCGCGAGUUGAGUUAUAUCGAUCGGUGGAUUAAUUAGUGUAUAAGAAAUAUAUUAUAUCGUGUCGAUGUAAUGAAAAGUACGCAAUGUAAAUUGAGAGGAGUGGCUAUAAAGGCGUGCGAUCGAAUCGUAAUAAUCUGUAAUAAAGAUAUCACCGUCAUUGUCUCAAACGGCUCAUGUCUUUCGCAGGAUUUUUCUUGUCCAGGAUUGAUCUGAUGCAACAGAAAUCAGAUACUGCAUAGACAGGACGUAUUGGUGAGUGAAUUUAUUUGCCGGAUUUUUCCUGUCCAGGAUCGAUGCAAUAAUAAACAGAAGCUGCAUCGACAGGACAUAUCGGAUUUUUCUUGUCCAGGAUCGAUGCAAUAUGCAACAGUAAUCAAAAGGAUGUAUCAACAGGAUAUCGGAUUUCUGAUCGCAGGAUCGACCUGGCGCGGCACGGAUCGAAAAUUAUAGUAGCAUCGGUGAGUGUUGAUUUCUUCCUCGGAUUGACCUGAUUAUAGAUAGAAUGUAUGGGGUGAGUGAAUCAAUUUAUGAUCCUUCCGAUUAUAUAUUGAACAGAUCUCCCCAUUUAUGAUCUUUAUGGUUAUAUUAUAGUGUGAUAUUAUUAUGUAUGUUUGCACAAACAUUUGCCUAUUCUUGUUACCAUUUUUAGAUUCUAACUACUUUGUAAAAAGUAAGAUUUAUAUAU